rnacentral:rRNA from 1 species
AACGAACGCUGGCGGCAGGCCUAACACAUGCAAGUCGAACGGUAACAGGAAGAAGCUUGCUUCUUUGCUGACGAGUGGCGGACGGGUGAGUAAUGUCUGGGAAACUGCCUGAUGGAGGGGGAUAACUACUGGAAACGGUAGCUAAUACCGCAUAACGUCGCAAGACCAAAGAGGGGGACCUUCGGGCCUCUUGCCAUCGGAUGUGCCCAGAUGGGAUUAGCUAGUAGGUGGGGUAACGGCUCACCUAGGCGACGAUCCCUAGCUGGUCUGAGAGGAUGACCAGCCACACUGGAACUGAGACACGGUCCAGACUCCUACGGGAGGCAGCAGUGGGGAAUAUUGCACAAUGGGCGCAAGCCUGAUGCAGCCAUGCCGCGUGUAUGAAGAAGGCCUUCGGGUUGUAAAGUACUUUCAGCGGGGAGGAAGGGAGUAAAGUUAAUACCUUUGCUCAUUGACGUUACCCGCAGAAGAAGCACCGGCUAACUCCGUGCCAGCCGCCGCUGUAAUAC